rnacentral:misc_RNA from 1 species
AAAGUCGUAACAAGGUUUCCGUAGGUGAACCUGCGGAAGGAUCAUUACAAAUCUUUGUUAGCUCUGGUGGCCGCAAGGCUGCCUGGGCCGACACAUUGGCACACAACGCGCACGAGGUCGUAAGGUCUUGUUGCCGUUGUUGUUGUUUACGCUUGUAUGUUUGACAGAUAUUAAUGUUGGAAAAUAAUAGACAACUUUUAACAAUGGAUCUCUUGGCUCUU